rnacentral:rRNA from 1 species
UACGUAGGUGGCAGGCGUUGUCCGGAUUUAUUGGGUUUAAAGGGUGCGUAGGCGGUCUAUUAAGUCAGUGGUGAAAUAUCGCAGCUUAACUGUGAGGGUGCCAUUGAUACUGAUGGACUUGAGUGAAGUCGAAGUAGGCGGAAUUGACGGUGUAGCGGUGAAAUGCUUAGAUAUCGUCAAGAACACCGAUAGUGAAGACAGCUUACUAGGCUUAUACUGACGCUGAGGCACGAAAGUGUGGGGAUCAAACAGG